UAAAAUGAAAAAUGAACUCCAUGGGUCGGGCCCCAUUCGUAGCUGAAAACAACACUUUUCGUUUACAUUUAGAAGCUCAAAACUGCUCCUUUUUUGUUUCGUUUUG
ensembl:ncRNA F01E11.16 ncRNA